rnacentral:rRNA from 1 species
UGGGGAAUAUUGGACAAUGGGGGGAACCCUGAUCCAGCCAUGCCGCGUGUGUGAAGACGGCCUUAUGGUUGUAAAGCACUUUAAGCGAGGAGGAGGGUACUGGUAUUAAUACUACCAGGUACUGGACGUUACUCGCAGAAUAAGCACCGGCUAACUCUGUGCCAGCAGCCGCGGUAAUACAGAGGGUGCAAGCGUUAAUCGGAAUUACUGGGCGUAAAGCGCGCGUAGGUGGUUCGUAAAGUUGAAUGUGAAAGCCCCGGGCUCAACCUGGGAACUGCAUCCAAAACUUGCGAGAUAGAGUAGAGCAGAGGGGGGUGGAAUUUACAGUGUAGCGGUGAAAUGCGUAGAAAUAGGACGGAUCAAAAGUGGAGAGGGCGACAACCUCGGCUGAUACUGACACUGAAAUGCGAAAGCGUGGGGAGCAAACAGG